UGUACUCAGCACAGAAUUUGCUAAGCAGUGUUUAACAGAGAUAAGGAAAGUAAACCACAGUUCUUCAUCACUGUUCAGCCUCCUGCCACACUUGCUCAGAUUGACAUUUGCAGGCUGUAGUCACUCCCAAGCCAACAUGCUCUCUGCGUACUCAUCGUUCUGCAUUCAGGGUUUUAAAGCCUGCUGACAAAGUUCAACUGCCUUGAGAGGGAUAAGUUAACAGCAAACUGAUCCUCUGCUCAAAGUUUGCUGGACGUUUGGCGAAUGGAAGGAGAGAAGAUGCCAGGAGACCUGCAUGUAUAGCAGAGCCAUGCCUGCCAAUGACAACAAUGACAAUGCUGGAGAGUAGGCUUCCUGCAAGGUGAUGUGACCCUUCCAGGAGCCAUCAGAAGGCACCCCGCUGGGGUGUGAAAAUGCAGAAGUGGCAUUGUACACCAAAGACUUCUGUGUAUCAGAUUUUGUUGAGUCCUCACAGCAUUGGAUUCCUGGAUCCCAAGCAACAGGUAAUAUUCUAUACAGGCCUUGUCUGACACUGAGUAUGGUGUAAACAUCGCAUAUUGUAGUAGAAGAGGAGUUAAUUUGUAAUCGCUUUAAAGAACUAUAAUUA